CGUAGGUGACCUGCGGAAGGAUCAUUACUGAGUGAGGGCCCUCUGGGUCCAACCUCCCACCCGUGUUUAUUUACCUUGUUGCUUCGGCGGGCCCGCCUUAACUGGCCGCCGGGGGGCUUACGCCCCCGGGCCCGCGCCCGCCGAAGACACCCUCGAACUCUGUCUGAAGAUUGUAGUCUGAGUGAAAAUAUAAAUUAUUUAAAACUUUCAACAACGGAUCUCUUGGUUCCGGCAUCGAUGAAGAACGCAGCGAAGUGCGAUACGUAAUGUGAAUUGCAAAUUCAGUGAAUCAUCGAGUCUUUGAACGCACAUUGCGCCCCCUGGUAUUCCGGGGGGCAUGCCUGUCCGAGCGUCAUUGCUGCCCUCAAGCACGGCUUGUGUGUUGGGCCCCGUCCUCCGAUUCCGGGGGACGGGCCCGAAAGGCAGCGGCGGCACCGCGUCCGGUCCUCGAGCGUAUGGGGCUUUGUCACCCGCUCUGUAGGCCCGGCCGGCGCUUGCCGAUCAACCCAAAUUUUUAUCCAGGUUGACCUCGGAUCAGGUAGGGAUACCCGCUGAACUUAA
rnacentral:rRNA from 1 species